rnacentral:lncRNA from 1 species
UGACACAAGAAAAACAAAAGCAACAAUAAAUUCAGAAACAACAUAUAGAUGGAACCCCACUUAUUUUCUAGAACAACAUACUCAAAAGAUUCACCCAAGUAAUGUCCAAGUACCUCUUCAGAGACUGACUUCCAAGAAUCACUAGUGUUGCUGCUGCUUCUAUUGCGACGAUUGCUACUCUCAUUUGCUAGCAGGUUUGCUUCUUUCAGCUCUUCGUUGUCUUUCUCUUUCUUCUCUAAGUCAUCUCUCUCUAUUUCACUACUAGAGGUUGUAUUUGAACCACAAGAAGAGCGAUCAACUUGUUUUCUGCUCUUUGUUUUGUUUGAAUCAAGAAUUUCAGCAGUUACUGCCGUAGCUUUCUCAUGAUCAGC